UAGCAGGCCCAUCAAACCACUCAAGUCUCCAGGAAAUGGUAGUUUGCAGUUGGCAAGAGCUGGAUGAACCAGUGAUGAGGAUGCCAAGACCAUCUAUUUAAUGGUACAGAUGAU